rnacentral:rRNA from 1 species
AUGGUGAAGACCAAGCAGCACCUCACGCUCCUCGACGACCUGAAGGAAACAUUCGCCAACCUCCACGAAUACAAGGUCAAGCUCAACCCGGAGAAAUGCGUUUUCGGCGUCUUGGCCGGAAAGCUACUCGGCUUCCUCGUCUCGGAGUGCGGCAUUGAGGCGAACACGGAGAAGAUCAAGGCCAUCGAGCGCAUGCGCAAGCCGGCUCGGCUGCGCGAUGUCCAAAAAUUCACCGGCUGGUUGGCCUUGGUCAGCAGGUUUCUCAGCCGGCUGGGCGAGAGGGCCCUACCCCUGUUCCAGCUGAUGAAGAAGACGACGCUGUUCGAAUGGAAUGACCAGGCGGAAGAGGCCUUCCGAGACCUCAAGCGCAUGCUCUCCACCGCACCAGUCCUCGCCGCGCCGGUCGACAAGGAGCCGAUGUUGCUCUACAUAGCCGCGGCCUCACGGUCGGUCAGCAUGGUGCUGGUGGUUGAGCGACCAGAGAAGGGCAAGGUCCAAGCCGUCCAGCGCCCGGUCUACUAA